GUGCUCACUUCGGCAGCAUGUAUGCAAAAUUGGAAGGAUACAGAGAUUAGCAUGGCCACUGCACAAGGAUGAGAUGCAAAUUCGUAAAGCAUUCCAUAUUUUU